rnacentral:rRNA from 1 species
AGAUUGAACGCUGGCGGCAUGCUUUACACAUGCAAGUCGAACGGUAACAGGCCGCAAGGUGCUGACGAGUGGCGAACGGGUGAGUAAUGCAUCGGAACGUGCCCAGUCGUGGGGGAUAACGCAGCGAAAGCUGUGCUAAUACCGCAUACGAUCUAUGGAUGAAAGCGGGGGACCGAAAGGCCUCGCGCGAUUGGAGCGGCCGAUGUCAGACUAGCUAGUUGGUGGGGUAAAGGCCCACCAAGGCGACGAUCUGUAGCUGGUCUGAGAGGACGACCAGCCACACUGGAACUGAGACACGGUCCAGACUCCUACGGGAGGCAGCAGUGGGGAAUUUUGGACAAUGGGCGCAAGCCUGAUCCAGCAAUGCCGCGUGCAGGAAGAAGGCCUUCGGUUGUAAACUGCUUUUGUACGGAACGAAACGGUCUGGUUAAUACCGUCGGCUAAGUGACGGUACCGUAAGAAUAAGCACCGCUAACUACGU